rnacentral:lncRNA from 1 species
CAAAAUGUAGAACGGUUUCUGAUGUUAAUGAACCUUAAAAACCCUUGAUUGGAUUGAUUUACCUGAAUCGUUUGUUAAUGUUUGAGAUCGAAGACUGUUAGUUUGUUCUCCAAAGGCAGUUCUCGGAUCACAAUCCGAACUGUACUCGUUUAGCCACUCAUGCUAAUGAUCUUGUCCUGCAUGAGAUCUUUUUGCUGGU